rnacentral:piRNA from 1 species
UGGAAUUCUGUCAACCCAGGACAUGGUGUUU